AUAUGACCUGAGCUGAAAUCAAGAGUUGGGGGGAACCAGGUGGCUUAGUCGGUUAAGCGUCCAACUCUUGGUUUCAGGUCAGGUCAUGA
rnacentral:pre_miRNA from 10 species